rnacentral:rRNA from 1 species
CCUACGGGCGGCAGCAGUGGGGAAUAUUGCACAAUGGGCGCAAGCCUGAUGCAGCCAUGCCGCGUGUGUGAAGAAGGCCUUCGGGUUGUAAAGCACUUUCAGCGGGGAGGAAGGCGUUAAGGUUAAUAACCUUGGCGAUUGACGUUACCCGCAGAAGAAGCACCGGCUAACUCCGUGCCAGCAGCCGCGGUAAUACGGAGGGUGCAAGCGUUAAUCGGAAUUACUGGGCGUAAAGCGCACGCAGGCGGUCUGUCAAGUCGGAUGUGAAAUCCCCGGGCUCAACCUGGGAACUGCAUUCGAAACUGGCAGGCUAGAGUCUUGUAGAGGGGGGUAGAAUUCCAGGUGUAGCGGUGAAAUGCGUAGAGAUCUGGAGGAAUACCGAUGGCGAAGGCGGCCCCCUGGACAAAGACUGACGCUCAGGUGCGAAAGCGUGGGGAGCAAACAGGAUUAGAUACCCCGGUAGUC